CCUUUUCAUUCUUUCAUACCAACCUGCUUGUUAAAAACAAUCUGCCAGCAAAACAACCUGUCCCGGGCUUCACGGAUUGCCAUUAAUAUUCGGCACGUUGACGGAAACAGUCAGACAGUAUAUAGGGUAGACAUACCGAUCUCUUUUUCUAGUGUGUGUAAAGGUGUUAUUUUAGCAUAUCAACAAUCCCCCCAUGUCCCCCCCUAUUUUCCGUCUAGAAACACUAACGGGCAGUCCUAAGUCUUCCUCUGUAGGUUUCUACCGGAGCAGCUUAAAAAAAGAAAAUGAUAGCUCCUGUUAUUUCACUCGUCUUUAAUGUGCAUUGACGAUGGCGUAGACUAUUUUUUUUUUUUUUUAAUCUACUACGCUGUACGUGACAUCUAACGUGUAGUGUCUGUUCAAUUCGACUGUUCUCGUUUUGCACCAGAUUUAUUUUUCGGCAUUUUUUCCCGCGCCAUUUUCGGAAAGAUACGUUUGCAAAAUGGACAAAAUGGGUUAGGCUGGAACAAAUAGUCGGCUCAAAGACUUUCUCGAAAAGUUCGGAAAUAUCCGUGUCAUCGGGUCCAGCGGCUUGGCGGAAGAUUAAUGAGCAUGAAGAACCGUCCGUCCAUAUCGGUCUUCAAAAACAACGAUGGCAAAGUAUAAUAACAAAUCAAGUCGAAUAGGUCAACUCCAUCACGCAGUCCAUAAAUGAAUUCGACAAGCCUUGCAUAAAUGUUUGGAUUAAACCUCGGGGCGCGUGCUCGUGAAAUGUCGUUGCCCAAAAAGAUUUCAGACUUGAAAAAAAAAAAAGCAAAGAUAAAAACGAAAUGGAGAGACAAGCCCUCGUGAAAUCUACGUCGCGAUUGGUUGGCCAGAGACGUGCCAUCCGGCCAUGCCUUCGGGAUUCCCAAUUCGUCCCAAAUUUAUUCUAUGUAAAAGCAAUAGUUGCCCCUUAACCAGAUAUUUUGUAGAUAAAGAAAAAAUGAAAUACAAUCUCGACAUGGAA